ACUUCAUGCUUUCUCAAAGUCCUUUAGCCAAUCAGAGGGGCGGUGGGCGGGACUAUCUUACCUGGUGUGGUGUGCGUGAGCGUGUGCGUGCUUGUGUAGAGUACCUGUACGGGGGGAGCUCGUGCUCAUUCGCUACUGGCACCUGGCGCGCUGUGACCUAAACGGCACCAACAGCAGCAGCAGAAGAAUUGAAGAGUCUGAAGUCCACUGAGCGAGGUGAUGAAAGCUUGGCGGUUUGCCGCAUGGGCGCUACUGGCUGGCCUUUGCCUAGUACACCUAGGACACGCGACAUCUGUUCCUUAUGAGGACUUGGAUGGAUCGGGUGGCGACGAUGAUGACGAUGAUGAAGGCUCAGGCUCCGGGCAGUGGUCGGGGUACGGAUCAGGCCAUCACGUCACGUCUACGGCCACCCCAAGGCUGACGCCAGGAGGGGACGUCAUCAUACCGGCUCUAGCAGACAAAUUAGGGAAAAGCCAACCUUCUGUAAGAAGCACAAAGAUACCGUUUCGAAUCACUCUACUACUCUGUGUGUGCUGUGUGUAUGUGUGUGUGGUAUUGCGUUAUUGUUAUGUUUAAAGGUUUGUGUGUGUGUGUGUGUGGGGGUGGGUGUGUGUUGGUUGUUGGUGUGAAAGAAAUAAAUGUGGUUUGAGAGAGGAGGGGAUUUCUUUGGUGUUUGGUGUGAGUGUGUUUGUGUUUUAAUAACUCAAAUAUCAUCUCUCUCCUGUGUGUGUGUGUGUGUGUGUGUGUGUGUGUGUGUGUGUGUGUGUGUGUGUGUGUGUGUGUGUGUGUGUGUCCGGUUACACCGCACCAUUCCGACGCACCGCCUUUCCGACACUGACGUUUUAUUGCAGGAACCGUUUUUCCAGCUUGCAGGAACCAUUUUUCAAAGAUCUCAGACCCUACCUUUAAGGGCAUUUGGACCGUGACAAAAUCAUGAUACACAAGAAUGUUUAAAUGACUCGGAAUCGCUUGGAAUGAGAAUCAAAUACUGUCGGAAUGGCAGUGUGUUGGAAUGGCCAUUUGUCCAGUGUUUAUGACUACAUGUGUGUGUGUGUGUGUGUGUGUGUGUGUGUGUGUGUGUGUGUGUGUGUGUGUGUGUGUGUGUGUGUGUGUGUGUGUGUGUGUGUGUCCACUGUUUAUUAAAUCUAGGAUGACUCGGAUAUGACAUUUGAUCUCUUACCUGUUUAUUAAAUCUAGGAUGACUCGGAUAUGACAUUUGAUCUCUUACCUGUUUAUUAAAUCUAGGAUGACUCGGAUAUGACA